AACGCACAUUGCGCCCUGUGGUAUUCCGCAGGGCAUGCCUGUUCGAGCGUCAGUACAACACUCAAGCCUAGCUUGGUAUUGAACCAUAUCCGCAAGGAUCGGUUUUAAAAUCAGUGGCGGCGCCAUCUGGCUCUAAGCGUAGUAAUUCUUCUCGCUUCUGGGUCUUGGUGGAUGCUGGCCAGCAACCCCCAACUUUCUAAGUUUGACCUCGGAUCAGGUAGGGAUACCCGCUGAACUUAA
rnacentral:misc_RNA from 1 species